ensembl:lncRNA
UAUGAUGUCAUGCCACAGACUCAAAAAAUUCUUAAUGCUACACAUCCAAAGAGUCCAGGUAGCCCCAGAGAAGAAUAGAUUGUUUUCGCUAGUUUCAUAAGUGAAAGUCUGCCUGGCAUCCUACUUUAGCUAGAAAACAACAUCAAACAAUGUAUAGUUUUGUGGGCCAAGAAGUUUAUGAGUAAAGAACAGAUCAAGAGAUAGGAAGUCUGUCUCCUAGCAUCACAUUGGCAACUAUGUACCUGUUUGAGCUUGGCACGCUGGUGUAUCUUCUUAGGGUGACUGACCUCCUCGUCUCAAGAUGGGUGCCACAGCUGAUGCCCAGAUGUUUAGGAAGACUUCCAGAGCAAAAGGGGACACAUUACCCAGGAUAGCUCUCACUACGACGCUGUGGGGCCACGUAAGCACGGUCACCCCGUGGCACACAGGAGGGAGCAGGCCCUGAGAGGACAGGGAACUGGCCUCCAUCCCGGAGGCACCUCCAUCUCAGGGCUGGCACCUGGGUCUUUGGAGCCUCAGCAAAACACCCCUUCCUCAACCUGGACUCCUCACCCUGGUCCGCAGAAACAGCCUCUGGGCACCCCGCUGCCAGCUGUUCCAUCCUUAGGGACACAUUUUCUCCGAUGGCCCCUCAGUUCCUCCCACAGGAUCCCUCUCCCGGCUCCACCAGCGCCUGACAGGCUGCCUCUGACCUGGCCUGGAUCCCGCCCUGCCUUGUAACGCUUUUGUGCGCUGUCCCUCACGCUGAACCUCAGGUCUGCACACACUUGCUCACUGACUCUGGACAAGUCACCUCAACUGCCUGAGCCUCAUCUUCUCAUCUAGAAACGGGGAGAACACUGAUUUCAGCGUUUGUCAUGAAAGUAAAUAAGAUGCUUUUGCAGAACCAUAAAAUCCUUUAUAAAGCAGCACUUGAUGCUCCCAGCAACCAAAGUAAAGACAGGCUGGGAGGAGGUGAGGGGCAGAAGAAGGGGCUGGGGAUGCACAGACCACUCAGGUCCUGGCUGUGACACCUUUACUUGUACAUCCCUGGAAAAAUUGCUCCGCCUUCCUGAGCCUCAGUGCUCAUCUUUGAUGGAAAUAUUUGAUCUUCUUACUAAAGUUUUUGUGAUGAUAAAAGGAGAUGAUGUAUCGAAGAUCUUAAUACAACGCCUGGCACUCAAUAACUUGUGUGGUGGUGGUGGUAUUAUUAUUAUUUUCUCUCUUGGAGCAGAGUCUUUUCUCACAAAUUUCGUGUCCCACAACAUUAAGCAUAGUGUUUUGCCAGUAAAAGGUGCCAAAAUAUAAUUUUUGAAGAAAUGAUUGAUUUUUUUUAAAUACUAUGAGAUAAUAAAAGAGAUAGGAACCACUGUAAAUUUUUAAAAGGUCUAUCUAACUAUCCUGCAUCACAAUUUUUUCCAUGUUAUAGAGAAAGUGAACAUGCCUCAAUUCUUGGGGUCCAUCCCGGUUAUUUCUCCACUUCUGAAGACUGUAGAAUAUGCUGUCUACAUACAUACAUAAUGAGAAUAUAACACUUCCUGGUCCGGUGCACAGGGAGCUUUCCAGGCUCCAUCACUCCCAUUAGAUGGUGAGCUCCAUGGGGACUGAGUCCACAUUUACAGCUCUUCAAACCCUCCGGAGUUAGCGGAAGGCAGGGCAAGGAGAGGCCUCCACUGAACGUCUGCUGCCACCACAAUGGUUCUACCCAGUCCGUGGCCCGGGGUCCAGGCAGGGUCGGUGCCAAGGCCUUGAGUAGGGGACGCAUUCUCCUUUCUCUUUCUGUGAAUGCCUUUGAGAAAAGCAGCCCUUAGGUUUGACAUAAGUAGAGAACCAAAACAGCCAUUGAGGAUGCUGUGAUUUUUACUACAGGAGUUAAUUAUCAGCUGACACAUGAAAAAAGAGAACUGUUUACAGGCAUUUAAUGUUAAAUUAAUGAAAUGCACAGCUGGGCACUACGGGAUCAUCCCAGCGGAUAUCAUGACGUUGGCCAUAUACCUCUAGCUCACUAACUCUAGGAGCUCAGGAUACUUGAUAUUAAACGACUAAGGCUGAGAAGGCUCCCUCUGAACUAGGAUGUGUCUGGAGAGGGCGUCUGACUUGCAGCUCACUUUAGACGGUACAAAUAGCUUUUAUUUGCAUCAUAUCGUUUGAUUCUCACAACAGCUCUGGAGUAGGUGGUGUUAUCCCCAUUUUUACACGUGAAGAAACUGAGUGUAAGGAACUAAAUCACUGCUUAAGGAUGUACAACCCGUGUAUUUUCUGUUUGCUGAUGUGUAACCAAUUACCCCAAACCUUGGCAGCUUAAAGCAAUAAGCAUUUGUUCCCUCAGUUUCUGUAGGCCAAGGAUCAGCACAGCUGAGCGGGGACCUCUGUCUCAGGUCUCUCCGAGGCUGGGGUCAAGCUGUUCCUGGAGGCUCACUUGGGGGAGACCGGCUUCCAAGCUCACUCUGGUUACCGCCGAAUCCAGCUCCCUGCCAGCUAUUAGACUAAGAACCCCAGUUCCUCAGGGGCUGUGGCCAGAGGCCCCCCUCAGUCCCUGGCCGUGUGGGCCCCUCCACAGGACAGUUCCCAGCAUGGCAGCUGGCUUCCCUCAGAGUGAGCAAGCGAGAAAGGGAGGGAGAGCUCCCAACGCAGAGACAUAGUCAUUUACAACCUACUCUUGAAAGUGACACCUGUCCCCCCUGCCGCGUUCUGUUCACUAGAGGGGGUCACUAGAUGUGGGAAGGGGUACAGGGGCACGUGAAGCAGGAGACGGGGUCACUAGGAUCGUCUCAGAGGCUGCCCACACAGCUCGUUAGUGGUGAGGAAAGGACUCAGUUUAGAUCAGUGUUUUGUCUGAUACACCGUGUUGCUCCAGCCAGGAUCCAUUAAUUCUGCAAGUAUCCACUGCAGGGACUAUUCUUGACACAAAGGGCGCAAAAACAGAAUGUGUGACCUGGGGAGACUCGCGAUACCCGAGUGAAGACUGACGGGACAAUCACAGUCCACCGGGACGAAGGCCGUGCCAGAGGAACGCAUGCGGCCUGGUGGGAACGCGCAGUGAGGCGCACAGCCCAGCCCCGGAGGAGGAGCUGGCGUCUAGUAAGUGUGGACGGACCCCACAGGCUGGCAGCACGAGGGGAGGAGACGUACAGAGAGGCGUUCCCAGCACCUGUGAAAGGCGGACAUCUGAGAGACAAUCGCCCAUUCCACCAAGUGCAAACUCUUCUCUGCAGCUGCGAAGAGCAAGCCCUUCAUGUUGGGGCUGGAGAGUUAACCUGUGCAGUGGUUCUCACCCCGAUUUGUUAGAACCACCUGGAGGGCUUUUAAAAGGCCUAUACCUUAAGGAAAUUAAUGAAAUCGAAGCUCUGGGGGUGGGGCCUGCGCAUUGAUUUUUUUGGUUUUUUUUUUUUGACAUUUGUUGUGUGGCAGCCUUUUUAAUCCUCGUAUCCACCCUUUGAGACAGGCACUAUUGUUAUCUGCACUUUACAGAAGAUUUACUUUUGCAUACUUCCUUUUACUUCUCAAUGUAAGUAUGUGGUAUCAAACAUGUGAUUUAAAUACCCUUGUGUCGCCUCAAGGCACCCAUCACAGCACCACGAAAACGGUGUUUAUUAAAGCAGCUGCCGCAUUCCGGAAAGCCAUCGUGGCUUGCUAUAAAGCCACGACACUUAGCAGGUUGGUUCCACAGGCUUCUCCACGAACAAGGCUCUGAUACCAGGGAUGCCUGGGUGCUGCAAGGCUGCAAGGGCCUGGCCCUCUGUCCUCAGUCAGGAUGGCUCUGAAGGGCAGAGUCAGCCCAGAGCUCCCGCGGGGUCCGGGGAGGCCUUUGCUGACGUGACACCGUCGCUCACCUUCACCCGUUUCCCAGCCUGCUCCCUGUACUCUCCCACAGGUCUGCCUCUCAAGGGCUCUCCCCAUAAACUCAUUCCCACAGACUUCCACGUCUCCAGAGUCUGCUUCCUGAAGAACCCACCCUAAGACAAAAGGAGUACAGAUGGGCCACACCUAUUAACUUUAUUUUACUCUCACAGAGACUUCCAGAGUAGAAAUUGUACCUGCUUUAUAAUCAGAGAGACCGGAGCUCAUCAAGCAUCGUCUCGGGGAAGUUGCUUACUCUCUCUGAGCCUGUCCUCUCAUCUCUGAAGAGGGACCUUACUAGGAUUACACAGUUCACCUAAGCUCUAUCAUGGAUUCCACAAACACAGGCUCUGGGUCCACGGAGGCCUAGCCAUGGAGUUGAAUCACCAGGAGGCUGAAUUCCUAGGACACAUCUGCUCAACCCAUCCAUACUGCUAUCUAUUAAAUCACUCCAGGGGACUCCAAGAUGCUGUCGGGAUGAGGAGCCCAUGGGAGGCAGAGGUGAGGACCCUUCCAAGAACGCACAUCUCGGACAUGGAAGGUCCAUGAUUCGAUCACGUCCGUCUGAUUCCCAAGCCUGUGGUUUGGAAACAGUUGUAAUGGAAGCUCCUUCUCUAGCUCCCUGUACAAGGGUGCACAGUCCUUUCUUCAUGUGAUUUUUCCUCAGGCCUUUCUGUCCCUAUGCACGUAUUUGGGAAGGUCUUCUCUCUCCAUCAACCACUGUGACCCUACGUGUCUGCGACUUCACUGCUUGCUAGCUAAGUCUCCAACUAGUCAAGAUUAUUCAGAAUUCUGUCUGAUUCUGCAAGGUGUUGCUCAUUCCUUGGAACUCAGGAUUAACUAAAGAGAGAAGCACUCUCUCAGUGACACCUCUCAAGCUGUGACCGCAGUCCCCUCUGUGUGCUGGGUGACAGGGACCACUUUUUGAGCACGAACUGGGGUGCACACAGCUCACAGUUAAAUGGCCUCUGGGCACUGGGUUUCCCGGCUCAUUAGCCUGUUUGCUGUGGUGCAGUCAUGUGUCCUACUGCUGAUAAGAUGGGCUGUACUUGUUACGUAUUUUAUCUGUAGAGUCCCCAUCGAUCUACACAGAAGCACAUUAAACCGAUUUACAUGAAAUGGUUUGCAAAGCUGGUCUGUGAUUGCAGAGAGCUGUGACCGUCCACGUGUUAGCAGAUCUGCCAUCUCACUUUCCCUAGGGUCUUUCCAGGAACCAGGUCGCAGUGAUUGAUCAACCACGUCCAUGAAAUCUUUCUUCACCUUCCCCCGUUUCUCUCCAUCUUCUUUCUGCCUCUUGUAAGAGCCAGAUCUUAAGUUAACAUGAAGGAAGCCAUCUUAGGGAAAAGAAACAAUAUUGUCACUGACUCACUAGUCCCUGUGAAUACAUUCUAGCCUGCAUGUAGCCUAAAUGAUUAUGCCCCUCUCGCUUUUACCAAAUACAUGAUCGUCUGGUUCUAUGACUCUUGCUU